AUGAUCGUCCUACUGCCUAAAAAGGAUGGCACAACCAAACUGUCUAACUUCCGCCCAAUUAGCCUUAUCCAUUCGGUGGCCAAGCUAAUCGCCAAAGUCCUCUCGAUCAGGCUAAUGGGUGUGCUAGAUCAACUCAUCUCCCCGGCGCAGAGUGCUUUCCAGAAGAAGAAGAAGGGCAUUCAUGACAGCUUCCUCUACGUUUAGAACGCAUUACGGCUGUUUUAGAGGAAAAAAUCGCCCGUGCUCCUGCUAAAGAUUGACAUUGCAAAGGCCUUCGACACAGUUUCAUGGGAAUAUAUCCUCGAGCUGCUGCAGUGCAUGAACUUCCCGGCGCGCUGGAGAGACUGGAUCGCCCUGCUUCUCUCCUCCGCGUCCUCUCCCUAUCUGCUCAACGGAGACCCGGGCCCUGCGAUUCUCCAUCAGCGGUGA
rnacentral:rRNA from 1 species